CUUGCUCUUGGGUGACGAGUGGCGGACGGGUGAGUAAUGUCUGGGAAACUGCCCGAUGGAGGGGGAUAACUACUGGAAACGGUAGCUAAUACCGCAUAACGUCGCAAGACCAAAGUGGGGGACCUUCGGGCCUCACACCAUCGGAUGUGCCCAGAUGGGAUUAGCUAGUAGGUGGGGUAACGGCUCAC
rnacentral:rRNA from 1 species